AUUUUCAGCACCAUCUGCCUCGAUUUGUCCCUACCUUACCUUACAUGGUCUUUGUUUCCUGUUCUUGUUAUAUUGUUUCCAUGGUUGUUAAUUGAUCUCACCUGUUUCUCGUUACCCCUCAUUAGUGUGUGUAUUUGUGCACAUUUGUGGUGUGGUACAAAUGAAAUAAUUACAGCCCAUGCUGGAGACCAGCGUGGAGCCCACUUACAUCAACUAGAGUGAAAAACAAUUAUGUUUUAGGGCUCGAUUAGUAGUCUUUUUUAGUAUUUUACAGACAUAUCUGAGUAAUUUACCAGCAAAUCUGAGCAAUUUACAAACAUAUCUGAGGUAAAUGUAUCUAUUUUUGAGUGGUUUGUUAUGAUAGUGGUGAUGCUAAGUACAUUUACAAUAUAAGUUUAGCCUUUUUUAUUUUACUUUUUUACUUUGUGCACUUUUUUUAAACAGUUUUUUUUUAAAUAUAGUUUGGUAGCAAGAUGCAUUGUUAGCCUUAAUGUUUA